rnacentral:tRNA from 1 species
CCGCCAGGUAGUGCAGGACGAGGGCGCGCCGUUGCUUGUCGGGCAGUUCGGCGAGCGCCGCGAUCAGCGCCACCCGGUCCGGUUCCGGCCCGUCAGCCC